rnacentral:rRNA from 1 species
GACGAACGCUGGCGGCGUGCCUAAUACAUGCAAGUAGAACGCUGAAGAGAGGAGCUUGCUCUUCUUGGAUGAGUUGCGAACGGGUGAGUAACGCGUAGGUAACCUGCCUGGUAGCGGGGGAUAACUAUUGGAAACGAUAGCUAAUACCGCAUAAUAGUAGAUGUUGCAUGACAUUUGCUUAAAAGGUGCAAUUGCAUCACUACCAGAUGGACCUGCGUUGUAUUAGCUAGUUGGUGGGGUAACGGCUCACCAAGGCGACGAUACAUAGCCGACCUGAGAGGGUGAUCGGCCACACUGGGACUGAGACACGGCCCAGACUCCUACGGGAGGCAGCAGUAGGGAAUCUUCGGCAAUGGACGGAAGUCUGACCGAGCAACGCCGCGUGAGUGAAGAAGGUUUUCGGAUCGUAAAGCUCUGUUGUAAGAGAAGAACGAGUGUGAGAGUG